GACGAACGCUGGCGGCGUGCUUAACACAUGCAAGUCGAACGGUGAACGAGGGAGCUUGCUCCCUCCGGAUCAGUGGCGAACGGGUGAGUAACACGUGAGCAAUCUGCCUCGAACUCUGGGAUAAGCGUUGGAAACGACGUCUAAUACCGGAUACGACUCGGGACGGCAUGCUCCCCGCGUGGAAAGAACUGCGGUUCGGGAUUAUCUCGCGGCCUACCAGCUUGUUGGUGAGGUAACGGCUCACCAAGGCGACGACCGGUCGCCGGCCGGAGAGGGUGGACGGCCACCAUGGGACUGAGACACGGCGCAGACUCCUACGGGAGGCAGCAGUGGGGAGUAUUGCACAGUGGGCGCAAGCCUGAUGCAGCAACGCCGCGUGAGGGACGACGGCCUUCGGGUUGUAAACAUCUUUGAGCAGAGAAGAAGCGAAAGUGACGGUACCUGCAGAAAAAGCACCGGCUAACUACGUG
rnacentral:rRNA from 1 species